rnacentral:misc_RNA from 1 species
UGAGUAUGGUGAAUAUAAUUGUCUUAUCAGGCGUCCUCACAAGUUACUUGCAUUCAGGGUUUGAUGUUGGCAUAGGUUUGGGUUUAUGUUGGCGAUUUUUGUUCUGGGGGCCUUAGCUCAGCUGGUAGAGCACCUGCUUUGCAAGCAGGGGGUCGUCGGUUCGAUCCCGACAGGCUCCACCAUGAAAGUAUUUAUGGGUCUGUAGCUCAGGUGGUUAGAGCGCACCCCUGAUAAGGGUGAGGUCGGUGGUUCGAGUCCUCCCAGACCCACCAAUGUUAUAUCAAUUAUUCUGAAUGUGGUUUGCGCAUUUUUUAUGCUUAUCAGCCUUGGAGCUGUGAAGCGUUCUUUUAUAAUUUGAUGAUGUAGCAAGCGUUUGAACUUUUUAUUAAUAAUUUCUCAUUGGAAGCCUUAAGUGACAAUGUUUAUCCAUUGUCUUGUAGAUUUUGAGGCGACUUUGGGUUAUAU